rnacentral:lncRNA from 1 species
UAAAUCCCAUCCUACAUUAACAGAAACCAAAGAUCUUUGGAGAAAUGGCUGACUUCAAAGUUCGGCAUGCAAAGUACAAGAAGAAUCUGAAACAUCUUGAGCCAGAAAGUAAGGAAAUGCUCAAUAAAUUACAGGAGGCAUUCCGAAGAGACACAAGAACCAAAUGAAGGGCCACAGAGGGAAAACUUUGAGCAUCAAAAUAAACACCCGUUAUCCUUGAUAGGCAUAUAUGUGUAUGUCAAAACUGACUGACUUAAGAUGUGUAUAUUACACUAUAAGUAAAUUAUACCUCAGUUAAAAAAUUUAAUAACAAAUUACAACCCACUCAUUAAAACUGGCAUCCAUGAGUCCAUACUGACAAGUGAAUAAAUGAUAAAUAAAUAAGUAAAUGCAGAAAAGGGAAAGUUCUCCCUUAUAGUAAAAUGUUAAUAAAUAUAACAGGAAUGAUGGAAAUAGAGAAUCAUCUUUUGGCAGUUAUCAUAAAAAUGAGAGAUUCAUAGCAUUGUCUAUAGAUGCUAACCUGAUGAAUCUGGUCUGAUGAACAGUGUAUUGGUAGAAUUUUGGAAUAUUACUCAAUUAUCAGUGGUACAAUGAUGGAAUAUACUGAAGACAAAGGAGCAACCUUCUGUGCAGCAUCUGACAAUGAGAAAACCUAGACCCAGAUUGAAGAAGUUACUCUACAGAAUUCCUUAAAACUCUAAAGAAUAUGAAAUAUAAGAAAACUAGGCAACAGUUUUAGAUUGAAGUAGUCUGAAGAGAUAUGACAGUCAAAUGCAACAUGAAUUCCUGCAUGGACCAGAAAGGAAAAAGAGAUAUUCUUAGGAGAGUUGGUAAAAUGUAAAAGGGAUCUGUGGAUACGAUGGCAGUACUAUACCCAAGAUGACUUCCUGAUUUAGAGGGCUGAAUGCAGGAUAGGUACAAGAGUGGCCUUUUUGUUGGGAAUUACACACUGGAAUACUUCAGGGUAACAGGACAUGAUGGCUGCAGCUUCCUCUCAAGAAGUAUGAAGAUAAAGAGUACAUGUUUCCUGUUUUGUUUCCAUUUAACCCGUCCUUGCUGACCAUGGACUCAAUCCACAUCCCGGCCUAUCUCAAUCUGGAGUUCCUCAAUGAGGUCUGACAAGGUGCAGUCCCACCUGUGGCUCCAUUUCCAGUGAGAGCAAGAAGGAAGCAUACUAUAAAGUGAAUUUAAGAGUCUGUUAAAUCUGUAAAAGUGGAUCAGAUCCGAGACAGCCUGUGCAGAAUACUGAACUCUUCGGAGUAAGACAUAUCUGUCAUUAUUUUUUGUACCUACUGCUCAGAAUAAAAACACUUGAAAUAUGGGGGGACA